GUCGUAGGUGGCGAGCGUUGUUCGGAAUCACUGGGCAUAAAGCGCACGUAGGCGGUCUGUCGCGUCGGCUGUGAAAGUCCAGGGCUCAACCCUGGGAUGCGGAUGGAUACUGCCGGGCUCGAGUCCGGAAGAGGCGAGUGGAAUUCCCGGUGUAGCGGUGAAAUGCGCAGAUAUCGGGAGGAACACCAAUGGCGAAGGCAGCUCGCUGGGACGUGACUGACGCUGAGACGCGAAAGCGUGGGGAGCAAACAGG
rnacentral:rRNA from 1 species